GUGAUUACUUUAGCAGCACAUAUACAUUAAUUGUUACAAUACAGAGAAGAUAAGCAUGGCCCAAUGCAAGGAAGACAAGCAAAUUUGUGAAUCAUCCCAUAUUUGU
rnacentral:snRNA from 1 species